CCUACGGGUGGCAGCAGUGAGGAAUAUUGGUCAAUGGACGAGAGUCUGAACCAGCCAAGUAGCGUGAAGGAUGACUGCCCUAUGGGUUGUAAACUUCUUUUAUAUGGGAAUAAAAUGUUCCACGUGUGGGAUUUUGUAUGUACCAUAUGAAUAAGGAUCGGCUAACUCCGUGCCAGCAGCCGCGGUAAUACGGAGGAUCCGAGCGUUAUCCGGAUUUAUUGGGUUAAAAGGGAGCGUAGGUGGAUUGUUAAGUCAGUUGUGAAAGUUUGCGGCUCAACCGUAAAAUUGCAGUUGAAACUGGCAGUCUUGAGUACAGUAGAGGUGGGCGGAAGUCGUGGUGUAGCGGUGAAAUGCUUAGAUAUCACGAAGAACUCCGAUUGCGAAGGCAGUUCACUGGACUGCAACUGACACUGAGGCUCGAAAGUGUGGGUAUCAAACAGGAUUAGAUACCCGAGUAG
rnacentral:rRNA from 1 species